rnacentral:rRNA from 1 species
GAUGAACGCUGGCGGCGUGCCUAAUACAUGCAAGUCGAGCGGACGGACGAGGCGUUUGCUUCUUUGAUGUUAGGGGCGGGCGGGUGAGUAACGCGUGUAUACCCUCCUUAUCAGUCUGGGAUCACUUCGGGAAACCGGAGCUAACCCCGGAUAAGAUUUUGAUCCGCGGGGUUCAAUGGUGAAAGUCGGUGUUGCUGUCACUAAUAGAUGGUUCCGCGCUGGAUUGGCUAGUUGGUACGGUAACGGCUUACCAAGGCGAGGAUGCAUAGCCGAACUGAGAGGGUGAUCGGCCACACGGGAACUGAGACACGGUCCUGACUCCUACGGGAGGCAGCAGUAGGGAAUCGUCGGCAAUGGGCGAAAGCAUGACGCAGCGACGCCGCGUGUGUGAUGAAGGUCUUCGGAUCGUAAAACUCCGUUAUUAGGGAAGAACAGCUGUGGAAGUAGAUGUGCACAGCUUGACGGUACCUAGUCAGAAAGCAACGGCUAACUACGUG